GACGUAGGGCGCGAGCGUUGUCCGGAUUUAUUGGGCGUAAAGAGCUCGUAGGCGGCUCGUUGCGUCGGCUGUGAAAACCCGCAGCUCAACUGUGGGCUUGCAGCCGAUACGGGCGGGCUGGAGUUCGGUAGGGGAGACUGGAAUUCCUGGUGUAGCGGUGAAAUGCGCAGAUAUCAGGAGGAACACCAGUGGCGAAGGCGGCUUCCUGGACCGGUUCUGACACUGAGGAGCGAAAGCGUGGGGAGCGAUCCGG
rnacentral:rRNA from 1 species